UGGGCGGGGCACGGUGGCCUGUCAUCCCAGCAGCUCAGGAGGCUGAGGCAGGAGGAUCACAGUUCAAAGUCAGCCUCAGCAACUUAGCAAGACCCUGUCUCUAAAUAAAAUAUGAAAGGGCUGGGGACAUGGCUCAGUGGUUAAGGACCCCGGGGUUCCAUCCCCAGCACCUUCAACAAACAACAAAAGCUGAAACCUAAAUUCUGUAGUCACCUAGAGCCCUUCAUCUCCUGCCACAUGUUGUGAUUUGACCCAUGAAACUGUGGACAAAAAGCUGAAGACAUGAGUUUGGGUAACAGAUGCAAGUCACAAACAGUAGAAAUGUGUAGCGACUUCUGAAAUACCGCGUUGUGAAAUUAUGUGCUUCUAAAGAAAGUCUCACUAUUUAUAGCAAGAAGGCAGAGGAAUUGUUUGGAAAUAUUCCUGAAUAUGGUCAUAAUUGGGCAAGGCAUACGGGAAAUGCCAGUUUUGAUGGAGGGCUCUGAUCCAGUUGUUCUUCUGUUUAAGACUCUUUAACACCAAAGCGGCCAAGAUAAUGAUGGUAGCUCCUCCUGCCUCUGGAGGAAGGCUGUCCUGUACAUCCUUCUUUGGGUGUCACUGAGACACCUGUUUACUGAAUGGUCCCUGUCUCAGGACCUUUGCACUGAUGGCCCCUGCUUAAAAAGCACACCUGCCAAACCCAGGUCUCUGCAGCUGCCUCCUUCUUCUCACAGGAUCUCAUUUCAGGUCCUGUGCCGUCAGUGUGUAGAGAGGAGGAAUUGUGGCCCAAGCCCAGUUUCAAGGAGCCUGCUGAGAAUUUGCCCAUCUUGGCCAGAGAUGAACAGAAAUAAAAGUUUUCGGCGGACACAACAUCUUUGUUUGUAUGUGGUGCUGAGGAUCGAACCCGGGCCGCACGCAUGCCA